UAGCCGUAAACGAUACUCGCUAGGUGUCGGCCACGGUGCGACCGUUGUCGGUGCCGUAGGGAAGCCGUGAAGCGAGCCACCUGGGAAGUACGGCCGCAAGGCUGAAACUUAAAGGAAUUGGCGGGGGGAGGCACCACAACGGGUGGAGCUUGCGGUUUAAUUGGAUUCAACGCCGGAAAUCUUACCGGGACCGACAGCAACAUGAAGGCCAGGCUGAAGACUUUGCCGGAUUAGCUGAGAGGAGGUGCAUGGCGUAGUCGUGU
rnacentral:rRNA from 1 species